rnacentral:piRNA from 1 species
UUCUGUUCUUCACCCUGAUCUGUUCUUCCC